UGCCAGCAGCCGCGGUAAUACGUAGGGGCCAAGCGUUGUCCGGAUUUAUUGGGCGUAAGGGCUCGUAGGCGGUUUCGUAAGUCGAUCGUGAAAUUUCGGGGCUCAACCCCGAGACUGCGGUCGAAACUGCGAUGACUAGUGUCCGGUAGAGGUGAGUGGAAUUCUCGGUGUAGCGGUGAAAUGCGCAGAUAUCGAGAGGAACACCAUUAGCGAAGGCGGCUCACUGGGCCGGUAUAGACGCUGAGGAGCGAAAGCGUGGGGAGCAAACAGGAUUAGAUA
rnacentral:rRNA from 1 species